UGAUGAUGGUGCGGGUAAUUUCUAAGCAUACCCUUAAAUAUCUCCCAAGCUUAGUAGAGAUUCUCUCCUUUUUUCUAUCUGAAACUCAAAAUCUCACUUCUCAAACA
rfam:Capsicum annuum cultivar Zunla-1 chromosome 3, whole genome shotgun sequence